rnacentral:rRNA from 1 species
GAUGAACGCUGGCGGCAGGCCUAACACAUGCAAGUCGAACGCCCCGCAAGGGGAGUGGCGCACGGGUGAGUAGCGCGUGGGAAUAUGCCCUUCGGUUCGGAAUAACACGGGGAAACUUGUGCUAAUACCGGAUACGAUCUACGGAUGAAAGAUUCAUCGCCGAAGGAGUAGGCCGCGUAGGAUUAGCUAGUUGGGGAGGUAAUGGCUCACCAAGGCGACGAUCCUUAGCUGGUCUGAGAGGAUGAUCAGCCACACUGGGACUGAGACACGGCCCAGACUCCUACGGGAGGCAGCAGUGGGGAAUAUUGGACAAUGGGCGAAAGCCUGAUCCAGCCAUGCCGCGUGAGUGAUGAAGGCCUUAGGGUUGUAAAGCCCUUUCGCCAGGGAAGAUAAUGACGGUACCUGGAAAAGAAACCUCGGCUAACUCCGUGCCAGCAGCCGCGGUAACAC